rnacentral:rRNA from 1 species
CAUUUCUUAUAGAUCUUAUUAUAAGUAAAGCCUGCUCAAUGAAUUUAUUCAAUAGCCGCAAUUUUCUUGUGCUAAGGUAGCAUAAUCAUUUGUUUUUUAAUUUGAAACUAGAAUGAAAGGUUUAACAUUUAAAUUUCUAUAUUUUUAAUAUAUUUAUAAAAUUAUAUUAAAUAUAAAAAUAUAUUUAUAAAAAAAUCAGACGACAAGACCCUAUUGAACUUAACUUAUGUUAAGCUGGGGCAGCUUUUAAAUUAAAAUUUUCAUUAAUAUUUUUAUAAAUUAUCCAAUAAAAUUGAAAUUUAUCAAGUUACCAUAGGGAUAACAGCGUAAUUUUUAUUUAAAGUUCUUAUUUAAAUAUAAGUUUGCGACCUCGAUGUUGAAUUAAAUUUUCUCUAUUUCGCAAUAGAAAUAAAAGUAGGUCUGUUCGACCUUUAAAAAUUUACAUGAUCUGA